rnacentral:rRNA from 1 species
UAGGGAAUCUUCGGCAAUGGGGGGAACCCUGACCGAGCAACGCCGCGUGAGUGAAGAAGGUUUUCGGAUCGUAAAGCUCUGUUGUUAAGGAAGAACGAGUGUGAGAAUGGAAAGUUCAUGCUGUGACGGUACUUAACCAGAAAGGGACGGCUAACUACGUGCCAGCCGCCGCGGUAAUACGUAGGUCCCGAGCGUUGUCCGGAUUUAUUGGGCGUAAAGCGAGCGCAGGCGGUUAGAAAAGUCUGAAGUGAAAGGCAGUGGCUCAACCAUUGUAGGCUUUGGAAACUGUUUAACUUGAGUGCAGAAGGGGAGAGUGGAAUUCCAUGUGUAGCGGUGAAAUGCGUAGAUAUAUGGAGGAACACCGGUGGCGAAAGCGGCUCUCUGGGCUGUAACUGACGCUGAGGCUCGAAAGCGUGGGGAGCGAACAGG